CCAGGCAGCUGUCCUGCUUCCUAGUGCCCAGUGGUUCCUGUAGAACAUGAUUUCAUAUGAUACCAACAUUAGACAUGUGUUCUUCGGGUCCACAAUGGCACAUGAGAUGCAUGGGGCUGUGUGAGCUAUACAAUGAGUGUCCCUUACUCCAGCUAGCACAGGAGAUGUUUGGUUCCUUAACAAUGAUGAUUUGGGCUCUGCUUCAUCCCUCCUGCCUCCUUGAUAAAGAUGAUUAAACUACCUGCCUGGGAAAGUAGCCCCACUUCCCCACAUGCCCCGGUGGAGACCAAUCUCUCUGUGAGCCACCCCUGGUCAUUCUGCAGUAACUUAAACCGGACAAAACACACUCCCCAUUCCCACCCACAGACGGUCCCCUGUGAUCCAUACUCUGCCUGUUUAGCAAGUCGCCAAACCACACUUAAUUUUUUUUGCACAUGUAUGUGGUGUAUGUGCACAUGUGCUUGCAUGUUCACAUAUGUGUUGGUUCACGUGUAUGUGAGCCAGAAGUCUCAAAGUUGACAUGAGGUCCCUUCCUCAAUCACUGCCCACCUAUUUUACUGAGGCAGGACCUCUUACUGGGUUCACAAUUAGGCUAGCCACCUUGCUCUCGGGGAUUCCCCUGUCUCUGCAGCUCAAGGUCUGGGAUUACAGGUGGGGCUUCAGACCCACCCUGCAUUUACAGAGGUUCUGGGAGCUGAACUUGUCCUCACACCUACAGAGCAAGUGCUUCACGCAGGGUCCCCAGUCCUCCAAAACUCACUUUGACUGGAAGGGUGUUUCUAGUGCUCUCUGGACAUUGGGUUUUAUUAAUGUGUGCACAGGGAUUGAAACGUGCUGACGGAGGCUGAGGGGGAGGUGUGCAGUGUGGGUACAGUUGGGUGGAGAAUCAUUUAAGGCCAGUCCUCAAGGACCUUCAGCAAAUCUGGGGCUGAGCUGUGAGAAGUGGCUCUGACCGGUGGUCCUGCCUGGACUAUUAUCUCUGUCCAAUCCUCUUAAUGACCUCGGCUGGAUGUUAACGUUUCACUUUUAUAGAGCAAAUCCUCAGGCUCAGCAAGCUUGAAGAACUUCUUGCAGUUUUUCCAGCUCGCUACUGCUGCACCCUGGAGCCGAGGAUUCUUUUUGAAGGCUGUCCUCAGACUGUGGAGCAAGGAGACAGACCCUGGGCAUCGUGGUCUUACUACUGAUGUGGCAACCAGCUGGAGAUGAUGGAUCUCCUCUACAAUGUGCCGUGAUGGUGUUCUACUCUUUCUCUCAGGGAGACCUGAACAAAGUCUAUUCAUCCCAGCCAGCACCCCAUGGUCCAUCUGCCUCUUGGGGAGACAGUGAACAUAUUGGAGCCUCUUCUAGAAGGAUGAAUGACUUAAACAGCUGAGUCACUGAAAAAAAAAACCAAAAAAAAAAAAAAAAAAGAAAUUGGGCUAGGGUAUACGUCAUAAGUGUAGGCAUCACUGUUCCAUGGACCAGGGUCCUGGAUCAAUCAAAGAGAAGGUGAGCUGAGUACCAGUAUCCAUCUUCCUCUGCUUCCUGGUGCAGAUGCGCCGUGACAGCUGCCUGGUGCUCCUGCUGCCAAGCCCUCCCUUCCCUGGUGGACUGUAUCCCCUUGAACCGGGAGUUGAACCUAACCUCUCCUUUCAUAAGUUUCUUCUUGUCAGGCAUUUUGUUACAGAAACAAAGGAAGCAAGGAAUGUAAUCAUUGUGGUAGCAGCCAGUUCAGCUGUGUGCUUUCAGGUGUGGGGUUGCCCUAGAAGAGAAACUUUUUUUUCACUGUGUAUCGCCCUCCAGUGUCAGUUGUGGGAUUGGAGGUUCUGCUGGAUCUUGGACUUACAGAGGAGCUUAGCAAUGUUGAUAUAAGGUCAUCCAGCUGGCUUGUCAUAUGUUGCCUGCCUAGGGUGGAGAGAUAACUGGGGUGUGGCAGGGUCUGGAGCCAGAGAAGCAGUACCUCCUACUGGCAACCUCUUUGGGUGUUGACCCUACUGUCCCAUAGGGGUUUGGUGAGACUGUCAUAUGUGACAAUCCCGCUCACUUGCUUCACUUCUUUCUUUCCAGUGACACAUUCCCUGAACACUUCCUCUACAUUCUAACUUCCCACCUGUGGUGGUUUGAAUAUGCUUGGUCCAGGGAGUAGCAUUAUUAAGGGGUGUGGCCUUGUAAGAGUGGGUGUGUCCCUGUUGGAGAAGUGUGCUACUGUGGGCUUUAAGACCCUUAUCCUAGCUGCCUUUGGAACAAAAGGUAGAACUCUCAGCUUCUCCAGCCCCACGUCUGCCUGGUCACCGCUAUGCUCCUCCCUUGAUGAUGAUGGAUUGAACUUUGGAACCUGUAAGCCUGCCCCAAUAAAUGUCAUUCUUUUUUUUUUUUUUUUUUUUGGUUCUUUUUUUUCGGAGCUGGGGACCGAACCCAGGGCCUUGCGCUUCCUAGGUAAGCGCUCUACCACUGAGCUAAAUCCCCAACCCCAAUAAAUGUCAUUCUUAUAAGAGUUGUCUUGGUCAUGGUGUCUGUUCACAGCAGUAAAACCCUAACUAAGACAUCCUCCCCUGUAGUGUGAAAUAUAAAAAAAGGCUCCCAUGCUAUCACUGGCUAGGCACUGGCAGACAGGCUAAGCUGUUCUCAGCCUGGCCGACUCUCUGAUUCAGAGCUCUGAAAUUGCUCUUUUCUCCCAGUUUACUAAGUUCCCAUAGCUGGUUGUUGCCACGCGUGCCCCCGUGCUUCCAAAUUCUCGUGGGCGGCUGGGAUGCACCCUUCCACACCAAGCUCUGCCGCCGUACCUUUCUCUGGAACCCAGUUGAGUCGUGUGAAGGAAAACACACGAUCUUGGUUUAGAAUCAACAGAUAACACAGUCGCGGGGCGCAGAACUUAGCAUCCUAAUUUUUGUAAAAUAAUCUAUGUUAAAAAUCAUCGAGUAGUGGACAGCCUCUACAUUCUGUCCUCUAUGCUCUCUGCAGUCCAGAAGGGCCGACCCUUUCCCUGACUUCCCCCUUCCUCUUCUCGACCCGGAAGUCCCGCCUACUGACGUAGUGAUUGGUCCCUUGUAAUCUUUACUCAUUGGGGGAAAGUUCUGCCAACUCUGCCAACUCAAAGCAAGCUCGGCUUGCUUCCCCUUAUCUUACGCAACUAAAAUGACAGGUAGCUCCCUUCUGCAUCUGGUCUAUGGCCUUUCUCUCUUAUUAGAAUCCAGCCUUCAUUUUCUACGAUUCCCUCCUUUCUCUUCCCCUAGGGAGACGUGAACAAAUAUCUAUCCACUGACAUUAGACCAAAGACACGAUUCCAUCCAAAUCUAGCUUGGUAAGCCUGUACGUUUAGUGAUGCUAUGAGUUGGGUGACUUAAAGGAAGCUACAUCAACCAACGAUCCAGUCCAAUAUAGGGUGCAACCCCAUAGUUCCUCACUUAACCUACACUACAUAGUUCCUACACUAAAAAAAUCUUCUCUCGGGGUUGGGGAUUUAGCUCAGUGGUAGAGCGCUUGCCUAGGAACCCAGCUCCGAAAAAUAGAACCAAAAAAAAAAAAAAUCUUCUCUCCUCUAAUAAGUACUUCCCGAUGUUAUAAUCUGGGGAGGGGGCUUGUGAACUUCAUAAGUUUCGAGCCCUUCUUGAGCCUUCUACGUCUUGUGAGCUUCCUGAGUCUUUUCUUUUUUUAAUCCAUACUAUUUUAUUUUAGUCGUAUCUAUGUGGAUGUCAGACAACAAUUUUCGAAAGUUGUUUCCCUUGCACAGUGUAAGUCCUGGGGAAUUGAACUCAGGUCUUCAGGCUUGGUCAGAGGCACCUUUUGUUGUUGUUUGUUUGUUUUUUACUUUCUGUUUUUUGUUUGUUUGUUUGUUUGUUUGAGACCGGGUUUUUCCUGUGUAGCCUGGACUGUUCUGGAACCUGCUCUGUAGAUCAGGCUGGCCUUGAACUCACGCGCCUCUGCUUUCUGAAAGCUAGGAUUAAAGGUGUGUCCCAUCACCUCCGGGCUGGUGGAAGGCACCUUUAUCCACCGAGGCAAAUCACUGGACCCAGCCUCUUGAGUCAUAUGCAUGCUAACCGUCCUAGGAGGGAGUGUUAACAUUUGGGGGAAGAUUGUCUAUUUCAGUCAUGGCUAUAGUCCCUAGAGUUUAGAAGCUGGCUUCACACUCUAUACUUAAAAAAAUCAUUUUUUAAAUAACUUCUUGCCCCUAUUCACCCCCUCUACCUUUUCCUAUGUCCUCCUCCCAAACUUAUGACUUUCUCUUCUUUAAUAAUUAUUGUUUUAAAGACUUCUUUAUUCUUGCUUUCUGUGCAUAGGCGUUAGCCUGCAUGUUUGCACUGAUGCUUGAGGAGGUCAAAAGAGGUGGUGACAGAUCCCUUGGAAUCAGACACCAUGGUUGUGAGCUGCCAUGUGGGUGCUGGGAGCAGAACUGGGGUCCUUUGUAAGGGCAGGCAGUGCUCCUCCCACUGAGCCAUGUUUCUAUAAUUAUUAUGAGCCCCCUUUCUAUAAUUAUUAUACUAUGUGCACGUGUACACACACACACACACACACACACACACACACACACAUACACACACACAGUGUCUACUGAGUCCAUUUGGUGUUGCUCAUAUCUGCACCUGUCCGGGACUGACCUCUUGGAAUUGGACAACCCACAUGGGAGCUUGUCUGUGGAGGACACUCUGAAUUUUGUUCGAAAUAAUAAUAUCAUUCUCUUUUUGUGUUGCAGAUUUUUUACUUCACUGAAUGUGUUGAUGUAAUGAACUACAUCAAUUGUCUUUCUAUUAUAAACCUGUGUGCUCCUAGGAUAAAACCCACUCGAGCCAGCCAGCGUUUUGCCAGAUCCCAUUUGCCAGUGUUUAACGCCCAAGCUUCACGUGAGCCUUCAUGAGGACUACCAGUUUACCGUUGAGUCUCCCUAAGAGACCUGUUUCAGGUUCUGGUUCUGAGGUGUGGCUGGUCACCUCAGUUUGAACAGAGUCUGGUGUUCCCAUGGAGCACCUGCUGAUCCACAGAUAGAAUGGAGCCUUCAGGAGCUUGGCCUGCCGCCGCAGCUCCAGCGGCACCAUGGCAGGGGAAUGGCAGUCUCGCCUCACCAUGAGAGCAUGUCUUAGGAGAACUCCACAUCAGCUGAUAUCGAUCUGCCAAUCAGCCCGAGUCCAUGAAGCUCCAAGCAACUGCCAGGACACUCUCAGAAGUCUUUGGUGCGUUUCUGACAUGAGGUCAUGACAAAUGAUGACCAGUAAGGAAUGGCAAGGAGUACCAAUACCACCCAGCACUGUCAUCCACCGUCUGUCGGGUCCUUCUUAACGUCAUGCGUCCUUUCACGUGUUUGCUUUAGCAAAACGCCCUUUUGCUGGCGUCUGCUUCAGGAAAACAUCCUUCAGCACAACUGACUUUCCAAAGAAACCAGAAGCUUCCACGUCAGUGGGUGGUGGUGACUUUGGCGCUCGGUGUUCCUGCUUGUUGGUUUUGUGACCAUAGCACAAUAAAUUAAUAAGUAAAAGUUUGUUCUCUGAA